GCCCUUGUGGCCAAGUGGUUGGCAGCCUUGGAGUCAGCAUAUUGCACGGCGGCAGUGUGACUUGAAGGUCGUGGGUUCAACUCCCAUCGAGGGCG